GGUGCUGCUCAGGUCACAGGUCCUUCUGUUCUUCGACCAGGCGCUGUGUGAGGGGAAUGCAUUCUACUGAAACACUGUUCUUUUCAUUUUUCAAUAUUGAUUUCUUGAAAAUAGGUUUCGGUAUUCUGCGGGCAUUGCCAACUGAGAAGGGGCAUUAGCAAAGAAGAAUCUUAAGGGAUGUCUACAUGAGGUCUUUACAAUUGGUUUCAAAGUGUAACAUUGAGUCCAUCAGCCUCUCUGCAGAUGAGGGAAUCAAAUAACCCACUUUGUUUCACCGAAGAGCAUAAAUUUUGCCUGAAUCGACCCAAUUGGUUUUACACCAGCUUUUGCCUACAUUGCAAAUCAGGGAGAGAGGAAAAGAAAUUGAGCAAUUAGAUAGUGUAGCAGGUUUAUCUUAAGAAACUUCACUUGAAUUUUGUUCUGAUUGGAAGUGAAAAAACACAAACAAACUAACAACAAUGACAACAAAAACCCCCAGAUCUUCCAGGCUGCUUAAGCUGCUCAGGCCAGAGGCUGGUGUGGGUGACAGCAAAGCUUGGUAUGUCCUUGUGACCACAGUUUGAAGCUGCCCUUCACAGUGAACCUCCUUCUUAGGCAGGAGGUCUCCUGAGGGUCCUGCUAAUAAGCUAUCCUCACUUCUGCCACUGUGCCUUUGCCCACCCUGCACCUGCCUCCUUUUGUUCUCUGCAGCACACAGAUCACAGGGGCCUUGUGAAGGUGAAACUGGAUCAUCAGCCUCUUGCUUAGAGAAGAUGUCAGCCUUUGGUUAAACUGGGCAUACUUUAAAGAAUUUUCUUUUGCUCAGUGCAAGAAAUUUUUAGUUAGAAGAACUAAAGCCUGUUUAAGGAUAACAUGGCGUACUGAAUACAAUUCUGGGUGCAUGGCAGUGUGGUGAGGGAAGGGGCAUGGGAUUCUAUAUUAAACAAAUAUCCCAGAAGAGCCUUAUGUUUGGCGAGCUUAUCAAACAUAGCAGGCUGGGAGCUGGUUGGGCUGGGAAAGCACAGGUGCGAGUCCAGUGCUUUGAUGUGCAAUCUUUAAAACUACUCAAUACUGUUCUUGGGCAAUGGCUCCCUCCAAUCGUAUAUACAGCGCCAUCUAAAUGAAUUCUUAGGGUUUGAUGAGUGCAAAGUCUAGAAGCACCUUGGAGCUAGGUAUUUAAUAAAGCAUUUGAGGAAAAAUCACAAUGACAGGCUAGGUCAUCUAACUCAUGGUCAGAGUAGUCACACAAGAUUGUGUGCCCUAAAGAACUCUACAACUAAGUUUGAUGCUCUGCUGCCAUCAUCUUGAUAUUCUGGAUGAUUUUUAUCUUUGAACUUAUGUUUUUUAAAUGCAGUCUGGUGAGACAGGGGAGCAUGUACAGGAGUGGAGGAGAGAUGUAUAAUAUGCACUGCACCUUCUCUAGGCCACUCCAUUUGCAGAAUUAUGGUGGCCCCAGGAAGUGUGGGAGUUUGUGAGACUCAAGGUAAGUAUAAAAGUGUGAAUGAAGGGUUGUGACUGAGAGCCCGGAAAGGCCAUACUUUUCAUUUGAGCCAGAAUUUGCUUCCAACUUAGAAAGGGAAUUGCAUUUAAGAAAUGUACAUGAGGAAGAAGCCCUUUCAUAUCUUUUCUUGCUGGCGUUACCCCUCUGUGUUAGCCAACCACUUACACUGAGGACAGUGACCUAGAGGGAAAGGGAUCGAUAGGCCAACUCAUGGUUCCUUUUUCUUUUGGCCCUUCCUUACCCAUCAGUAAGUUGAAGGUGGAGUGGCUUGGUAGAGUAUGUGCACAGCCAAGAGGUGCAAAGAGACAGCUGUUCUAGUCUUGGGCAGCACCUCCACUGCUCUGAUAAGGCAAAAUAUCCCUGUGGGUAUGAGCUAUGAAAUAGCAAUUGUAAAAUUUCUGUGAUUCUGCCUUAGUUAAAUUGCUCUUUUGUUUGCAUUUUUUUUUUUUAAAUUUUUAGCAGGCAGAGUGGAUAGUGACAGAGAGAGAGAGACAGAGAGAAAGGUCUUCCUUCACCCUCCAAUGGCCGCCGCAGCUGGCGGAUGGCAGGAGCCAGGUACUUAUCCUGGUCUCCCAUGGGGUGCAGGGCCCAAGGACUUGGGCCAUCCUCCACUGCACUCCCUGGCCAUAGCAGAGAGCUGGCCUGGAAGAGGGGCAACCGGGACAGAAUUCGGUGCCCCGACCGGGACUAGAACCCAGGGUGCCGGCGCCGCAAGGCGGAGGAUUAGCCUAGUGAGCCACGGCGCCGGCCUUCUUUUGUUUGCAUUUAAAACUGGCAUUCUAAGAAUGAAUAUGGGAGAAUAGUAAUUUAUCCUAUUAAUUUUAAAUUUCAACGUUGCUUUACUUAGAAUAAUAUUAAAUUGCUGAAAAGAAAAAAAUAACACCAUGACAACUUGGGAGGUGGAGAGAGACACAGACAGACUGUGGAAGAGUAAAGCUUUAUAUUUUAGUGUGUGUAACAGCAGUUUAGUCCUGCUUUUUGAACAAAGAGCUUGCAUUUUCAUUUUGCACUGGGUUCCACAAAUUAUGUCACUGGUCCCGACUCUCACUCCUGCGGCAUUUGCAUGCUUGAGCUUCUAACACAGUGUCUGUUGCCUUCUGGGAGUACAUGACCAAGGGCAGAAGACAGAGGUAGGAGCACCUCUUCUAGCAUAAGGAUGUCACUCUGGCUUCUAUAAGAAAAAUCUCCAGCGGCAGUACCUUGGUCUCCAUGGAAACUGGUAACGUAUGAGAAAUGGAAAGUUAGAACACCUUUCCAUUGUUUUUCCCUCUAGGAAGGAUUCUCCUGUGACUAAAAUAUGCUAAUACGUACAGCCUGCCCCUGGCUUCUGCUAGAGGGGGGGUGAUGUGGUUCCCUCCCUCAAAGCAGAGGCUCGGUGAAGUAUGGGAAUUAGCCUCUCAUCUCACUCUUUCGGUCCUGAACAAGACAAGAGACAAGCAGAAGAAUUCACUGUAUUCCACUGAGUAGGAACUUAGCGCAGCUUUAAAGACACAUAGAAUUGAGGAUCUUUGUUUCCUCGAUUUCUGUUAGGUGGUAGUGUUUUAUUCGCCUGGAGCUAAAAGCCAAGAUCUUUUGGCAGAGUUAGGGUGUAGUUUGGCCUGCAUCAAACUUGGAGGACUGCAGUCUCUGGCCACACCGAGGAUCCCAUGGGGAGAAGGGAGCCGAUUUCAAUGUUCCCACUCACUGGAGCAUCGGAGGUGUUUUCUAUAGCAAGCAAGGAGGCAGGACAGGGUGACAGAGCCGCAGAUUUCUACUGGGCCAGCCCAGAAGUACUUGUCUGCCUCUGUGGUUGUAACUGAGAGACUUUUCAUGUUGUCUUUUGUUGAGAACCCAGGGUGGAUGCUGUAUUCUGGCCCCAUCUCCAUCCAGAGAAAUCCUGAAAGAAUGCCUCUUCAUGGAUCCUACCAGCACUGAUGCCUCAAAAACAUCUUCUGCCCAAACUCUUUUCAACACUUCUUUCUGAAUAACUCAAACUGUGGCAGUCAUGACAACAAAGGCAAAGUGGACAGUGAGAGAGAGGACAGAGAAAAAGGUCUUCCUUUGCUGUUGGUUCACCCUCCAAUGGCCGCCGCGGCUGGUGCGGUGCAGCCGGUGCACCACGCUGAUCCGAUGGCAGGAGCCAGGUGCUUCUCAUGGUCUCCCAUGGGGUGCAGGACCCUGUCGCUCCCCGUCUUCGUGGAGGAAUGACACAGGACCCUGCGCUGUUCUUUUGUCUGCUCGGCCCUCCCCGUGUUUGCUGCUGGUUCUUCCCGGGUUGGCUACCGACCCUUCCACCUCCGUGGAAGGGCGGUUCCCCCUGCCACCUUCCCCACUUCCGCGGGGGAGCGGCACACCGCCGGCCGGCUCUCUCUGGGGCUGCACAGGUGUUCCUCUUAGAUGUUCCCCGAUGCAUGUUGUCUCUCUCCUCCUUUAUAGUCCUCUUCCACCAAUCCCAACUCGGCUGCCCACACGCCGAGUACGCUGCUCUCCUCCAAUCAGGAGCAGGUCCUGCUGCUUAUUGGUUGAACUGGAGGCAGCUGUGUAGAAGCUGUUUUCUCCUCUCCCAGCGCCAUAUUGUGGGAGAGCAGAUGCAUAGAAUAAGUCUUAAUUCCAGUAACUUAGUCUAGUCCGAGUUGCUCCCAGUUGCUCCCCACAGGGCCCAAGAACUUGGGCCAUCCUCCACUGCACUCCCAGGCCACAGCAGAGAGCUGGCCUGGAAGAGGGGCAACCGGGACAGAAUCUGGUGCCCCGACCGGGACUAGAACCCAGUGUGCCGGCACCGCAAGGCGGAGGAUUAGCCUAGUGAGCCAUGGCGCCAGCCUGAGUUAAUAUCUUCAAUAAGCCCCUUGAGAUCACGGAAAUAGUCUUUACUACAAUUUCUAUGCCAUAAAGAAAUAUUUUGUCUCCCCCCUUUUGGAAACACACAUGAGCAUUUUUUCUUUAGAAUUAGAAGAGUUUUAUUCUUAUUGUCUGUGUAUUUUCCCAGCAUGCUCAAGCAUGAAUAUUAAAGAAAAAAACCCAAUGUUUUACAGGUUCUACUUUUUCUUUAAUACUGAGUCAAGGUCAUGCAGCACGUUAUUGAUCACUAGCAUAAUACAAUAAAGCAGCAAACUGAUUUGAAUUUAGGGAUUCUUAUUCUGGAAGCUCACUGUUUUGUGCAGGAGACUGAGGCUUCUUUAAUAAAGAUCCCAACAUGUAUUUUUCCAAACUAAA